rnacentral:rRNA from 1 species
AACGAACGCUGGCGGCAUGCCUAACACAUGCAAGUCGAACGAGACCUUCGGGGCUAGUGGCGCACGGGUGCGUAACGCGUGGGAAUCUGCCCUUGGGUUCGGAAUAACAGUUGGAAACGACUGCUAAUACCGGAUGAUGACGUAAGUCCAAAGAUUUAUCGCCCAAGGAUGAGCCCGCGUAGGAUUAGCUAGUUGGUGAGGUAAAGGCUCACCAAGGCGACGAUCCUUAGCUGGUCUGAGAGGAUGAUCAGCCACACUGGGACUGAGACACGGCCCAGACUCCUACGGGAGGCAGCAGUGGGGAAUAUUGGACAAUGGGCGAAAGCCUGAUCCAGCAAUGCCGCGUGAGUGAUGAAGGCCUUAGGGUUGUAAAGCUCUUUUACCCGGGAUGAUAAUGACAGUACCGGGAGAAUAAGCUCCGGCUAACUCCGUG